AAGAAGGCAAGGCAGCGAGCGGGAUGGAUCCCGCUCGCUGUUUGCCUUCCCCUUUAGCCCCAUGCAGCCUCUCCUUGCCGGGAGAGGCUGCGUGGGAGCUAAAGCCAUAGCCCCGUGCAGCCUCUCCUUGCGGAGGGUUGCGCGCAGCUAUGGAAGAAGGCAAGGCAGCGAGCGGGAUGGAUCCCGCUCGCUGUUUGCCUUCCC
rnacentral:miRNA from 1 species